rnacentral:snRNA from 8 species
AUACUUACCUGGCAAGGGAGACACCGUGAUCAAGAAGGCGGUUCACCCAGGGCGAGGCUCAGCCAUUGCACUCCGGCUGUGCUGACCCCUGCGAAUUUCCCAAAUGUGGAAAUCUCGAUUGCAUAAUUUCUGGUAGUGGGGGACUGCGUUCGCGCUCU